rnacentral:sRNA from 1 species
CUGAGAAUCCAGCUCUCUCUCUAGGUACACAGAACUGUGGCACAGGGUCACCUCCCAUAACUAGUCUUUGUGUGUGGUAUGCUUCAGUAGAAAUCCAUAGAGGUUACGGGGCAGCAAGUGAUCUCCAGGCCAACUUUGGUGAAGACCAGGGUAUAGUUUUACAGUCCUCUAAAAGUAAGCACUGCAUACACUCAUUUAAGGAAAAUACAUAAAUGUAGUUAAAUUUUCACUUUUGGGCAUCCCCAUCAGGAAAGCUUCACAAUUUCCAGAAAAUAUCUUUCCAGUCUCUAGUGUUGACUGGGAAGUACAUGAACAGCUACAAAGUUGCAGGAGUUCCUUUGAAGUUACAAAUAAACUACAGUAUAUCACCACAGGAUUUGGUACAGAAGAAUUGUUCUAGUUUGCUUCAACUGGCAACUUAAUAAGGGCUAGAGUCUUGAUUGUGUGGUUGACCACAUCAGUGGGUUUUCUUGUUUUCAAAUAGAUACAGAACAGCCAAGGCUAUGUAAGAAAGCUACCUAAGAAUGUGCCCGUGGAUGAACCAGCAAGUAGGGUUCAUCCAGUGUUUCUACUUACAGCUCUUGCACUGUAAUCCUACAUAUAUAUAAGAUUGUGGAUUAGUAGCAUGAAAUAAGUUGCUUUUGUUAAUGAUGUUUGCCAGAGCUACAAAAAGAAUAUACAAAUAAAACCCCCUCUUCUAUGUUCAGUGUAAUGCUUGCUCAGCAUUUCCACACAGCUAUUUAUUUCACUUACUUUUUCAUGGUUCUCAACAUAGAUUUCGACUCACAGAAUCUGAGGCUUAAGAUUUGAUGCUGAAAGUUGACAUAAGAGAAAUGAUUCUGAAACUCCUCAUUUGGGUGAAUUUUAUUAUAGGUGACUUAAUUUGAAUACUUGUUUCCGCCCAUGUUUGCCAUAAUAUUCUUUACAGUACUACCAGUCAUCAUCAAGAGACUUGACAAUUGUUGACUUUCAUUAAAAGUUUGGUGACAGCGUUGCCAGAACAUAUUGCAGAGCAUUUCAUGCCCAAUAUCCUUUUUUUUUCUUUUCACUCCAUCCAUCCUCAGUAGUAAAGUAGCAUUACUAAGCAUACAGCCCUGUCACCAUAGAUGUCAUCAGGAUAUGCUUUAUCAACUAGUUUCAUAUUAUGUCCCAUACUAUGAAAUCUGUGAGUCAAAUGUACAUUUGUAUCUAUUGUUUUAUAAGCUGUGUAUCUUCAUGUACCUCCAAAAUGGCCUUGACCUCUUCAAAAUAACAAUGUGAAACUUUACUAGCAUGAGCCAUAUAAGAAGAAUAAGAAUUAAAAUUUUUCAUCAGGAAAUGCCCAAACUAUAUACAUAUUCAUGACACUAUAAUGAUAAUAUCUUAAUACCUAAAUAUGCCCAUCUUUUUGAAAAAAAUCACUGAAAUGGUAAGUAAUGAACACCCAUGGGUUGUAUCAAUGAUUGAAGAGUUAAGUCUACAAACACACUUGCCCUGCUAUAAUAUACGUAAAGACUAAAAUUGAUUAUUAUCAAUUUCUUUGUUUCAUUUUCAGAAUAUAUUUCAAUUUCCAAUCAAGAAAACAAGCAAGUCCUUUAUCCUUUUAAGCCAUUAACAUUUUUCCUGAUUGACAGAAAAAGGGUACGUGUGGGAACGAUCAUCCAUCCUAAUCUUGCUUUUAUGGGUUCAAGGUGUAGCAAUUGAAGGAAGAGCAGCAAUUAUUGAACUUCUAUACCCAACUUAAGCAACAUUCCCUCCCACUUGACCUUAAGACACUCACUCACUAUUCCUUUGUGGAUUAUGUCUAUAGUUCGUUUCCUUGAUACAUAGACUGUGAUUUUGGGCUCCCAGUUAAUGUGUCAGGCAUUGAAGAAUGUCUGUGGAAACAAAAUAACUUAAUAAAAAUAAUCCUUUAGUGCCAGAAUUAGUUCUCCGUUCUAUUUCAUAAAUAUUGUUGUUUUUUCUGUAGCUGUGAGAGAAGCCUAUUCUGCUCCUAUUUUAUUAAAUAAUAUACCAUUCACCAGCACUCCUUCACUUUGUUAUAAUCCUCAAAGCUUAACUUCCAAUGGAAUCAUUUUGCUUAUAGUUCUGUGCAUGACUUGAGAGAUGAUUCAUUCUUAACUUUGCCAACUGAGUAAUACAUUAGUUUAUAUGAAUCCUGCUUAGGGAGAGGAUUUUCUCUCUCUUUUCUUGGUAGAAAGGUGUGCAAGAAGCAGACCUAAUGACCAAAUGACAUCAUCAACAGCUGCAUGCUUUACAAGGACAGCCAUUCAGUAGAUCACAUAUGUGUUCAUCUGACCAAUGAGUAAAAGUAUAUCAGUAAUAGUAAACUACAAUGGCACUCCCAAGUAUUUGCCAACCUGUAUGUUUCAGGGAGAAAUGACAUUGGGGAAUGGGUUAUGUUGGUGUUUGGAUUUCCUCCGUUCUACUCACUCUCUGAAAGAAGUCGUGACCUCUUCAGGGUCACAGGCAGAAGCUUAAGGACACCUGGAGAAGUGGUACAGGACCAGAACCCAGGGACUAGGUGAGGGUUUCGAUCACCAGACUGAUCUGGUUCACUGAAGAAAGUGAGUCUGGUAGUGUCUUGCAUGCAGUUGGCAUAAUCAUGCUCAGCCUGUCCAAUCCACUCUAUUGUACUCGAAUUUGACUCUUUGUAUCUUGUGGUAGGGGAUGUGGUGAACCCUGUUUUAUUCCAUAAUCCUUUUCCUCAGGAUACAAAGAAUCAGAUUCACUUUCUUCAACUGGCUGUGUGCACACAAAUUCCCUGGCUCCAAAAUCCUGGUUCAGGAUUGCUGAGAUAAUCAUGGAUGACUUGUGGCCAAAUCCUCUUUACUACUACCCUAAGGAAGACCACUCAUGAAGAGAGAAUUAGGACUGUGCCAGGUGAAUAGACAGGAUAAAAAGCAGAGCAUUUCUGACUGUAGACCAUUAAUGAAGAUGCUCAUCGUGUAAACUGGAAUUGACUGAGAUAAAUACUGGCAAAGGUCAUCUAGCUUCCUGUUGAUUAUUUGUGGAGUGUGGAUAAUCACAGAAGUAAUAUCCAAGCCCCUGGAGCUAAAUUCUCUUCAGCCAGAGUCUCUGACCAGACUAAGGACUUGGAGGAUAAGGGUUGAACAGGAGAUGGAUACAUUGAAUUGCCCACAUUCCUCACAAACAUGGGGCCUGUUUCCACUGCUUGGUACUAAGUAACAGAGAUCCCUAAGGCCUGCUUAGAUACUGUUGAACAGUAGUCCAUUCCUUAUCAUUCGUUUACCCCAGUGAAUUCCUUGGCCAUUGUGUUGGCCUAGCUUUACCUGCAUCCAGUUGAACAUCAAGUUGUUGGUAAAAUAGGAACACAGAUAAAAUGUAUUUUAUAAGGGUAACCCCUUCACAUUGGUCAUUUCCCCAGUGCUAUAAGAAUUGCAUUAAAUGAUUUCCUUAACUCCCAGAUAAAGAGAGUUUAGGGCUUGCAUCUCAGCCAGUACAAGGUGACAGUGCCCUAACCAUAGGAGUAUUAGUACAAAUCCAUUUUGUCUGAGGUAAUUGCCAUGUAAUGUCACCACUGGCAAGAUGGGUACCUACUCCUUCCCCCAAAUCUCUUUAAUACAGGUCCCUUCCUGUGUUAAUUCCAUCUGAGAUCGUCAUGCUGCAGAUGUGUGGAGAGACACAUCAGGGCCCAAAACCUAGCUUUGCCUUGGGGAAGUAUUGAAGGAGAGAUCUUUCUAGAAAGUUGCAGAAGGUCUUUCUAGAAGCACCUUCCGCCAGUGAGUGGGUUUGUUUUCCAACAAGCUUCAGCUCCAGUGGGUGGAUAUUACAUUGGGUGUCCCACAUGUCCCUCAAUGUUUUUGUGUACGAUGUCCCAUCCACUAAACAGAGAUGCUGUCUCCAGUAUUUACAAUAACGUCCAGCAACCCUCCACCUCAUACCUCAGCUGGAAUUCGAGUAGGACUUGAUAUGAGCAGUGACACUUCAGUUUUCAUACUAAAGACUGUUACAGUGGAAAGAUAAUUCCCUUUCCCCAGUUCUUAGGAGCAUGAGGUGUCAGGAGCUGUUUGAAACAUCUGGCCCGGAGAAGAGAUAGUCUUUAUGUAGGAAGGAUGGGGAUAGUGUCCUUUCUUAAAUACUGUUUUCACAUCCUCCCACACAGGAAGGAAAAAUGUUUUAUCCCAGCUCUUUGCUUCUCCAAAGCAGGAUGAUGAUCUCUGCAUUCCUACCCAGGGGACUCACUUACCAUAGAACUCCCUUGCAAAUAUGGAAUUAUAGAGGAACAUGAACAGAGAAUGAUGGCCACCUGAAUCUCCCUGUCCUUGGUGACUAAAAAAGAGGUAACAAGACAAAAUUUGUGUAC